GACGAACGCUGGCGGCGUGCCUAAUACAUGCAAGUCGAACGAAACUUUCUUACACCGAAUGCUUGCAUUCACCGUAAGAAGUUGAGUGGCGGACGGGUGAGUAACACGUGGGUAACCUGCCUAAAAGAAGGGGAUAACACUUGGAAACAGGGGCUAAUACCGUAUAUCUCUAAGGAUCGCAUGAUCCUUAGAUGAAAGAUGGUUCUGCUAUCGCUUUUAGAUGGACCCGCGGCGUAUUAACUAGUUGGUGGGGUAACGGCCUACCAAGGUGGUGAUACGUAGCCGAACUGAGAGGUUGAUCGGCCACAUUGGGACUGAGACACGGCCCAAACUCCUACGGGAGGCAGCAGUAGGGAAUCUUCCACAAUGGACGCAAGUCUGAUGGAGCAACGCCGCGUGAGUGAAGAAGGUCUUCGGAUCGUAAAACUCUGUUGUUAGAGAAGAACACGAGUGAGAGUAACUGUUCAUUCGAUGACGGUAUCUAACCAGCAAGUCACGGCUAACUACGUGCCAGCCGCCGCCGUAAAAC
rnacentral:rRNA from 1 species